rnacentral:rRNA from 1 species
CCUACGGGUGGCAGCCGUCGAGAAUUUUUCACAAUGGGGGAAACCCUGAUGGAGCGACGCCGCGUGGAGGACGAAGGUCUUCGGAUUGUAAACUCCUGUCAUGCGGGAACACGAAAGUGAUAGUACCGCAAGAGGAAGAGACGGCUACCUCUGUGCCAGCAGCCGCGGUACUACAGAGGUCUCAAGCGUUGUUCGGAUUCAUUGGGCGUAAAGGGUGCGCAGGCGGCGUGGAAAGUUGAGUGUGAAAUCCUGGGGCUCAACCUCAGAACUGCACUCAAUACUCCCAUGCUAGAGGAAUGUAGAGGAGAGUGGAAUUCACGGUGUAGCAGUGAAAUGCGUAGAUAUCGUGAGGAAGACCAGUUGCGAAGGCGACGCUCUGGGCAUUUCCUGACGCUCAGGCACGAAGGCCAGGGGAGCAAACGGGAUUAGAUACCCCAGUAGUC